AACUCAAUGCCGACGAAACAUCAAUUAUUUUCAAAAUCCAAAAAGAAAAGAAUGACUUGAUCAAAGUAUUGAGUGAAAUGCCAGGGUUGAAGGCAAUGCAUGCUGCAGAACAACAGCUUUCUCCAAGUUGCAGUACAAAUAAAAAGAGACCAUUGCCAAGAACCCCAACUGGCGCAACACCCAAAAGUAAAAGGCCAUUGUUCUUCACACCUUCAAAACAACCAUCUUCUUCUCCUGGGAUAACCUGCCCUUAACAAGUUGCCGAUCAAAGCACACAAACAGUACACACGCAGUGUGACUUUCAUGUAAAGGUGGAUGUGAAAUACAAAGGAAAGGAGCGAUCAAGAAUAAUUAAGGACAUAGUUCAACAGACAGCUUUGAAAGCAAUUCUAAACAAUAAAAGUGAAAAAACUGUUAUAAAACAUUUAGUGAA